CAACAUCCCAUGAUCCCAGUCUUCUAUUACCUCCCCAAGAUCCACAAAAAUAAAGAUAAACCACCUGGCAGACCUAUAGUGUCAGGGAUAGGUUCCAUUUCAAGCAGGUUGUCACAAUAUAUCGACAAAUGUUUACAAUUGAUAGUCAAUACCUGCCCUAGCUAUCUUAAGGACACCAUUAACAUCCUACAGAUUAUCCAACAGGUCACCUGGAGUACAGAUUAUUAUCUUGUGACAUCAGAUGUGAGUUCCCUGUACACGAUCAUCUCCCACACCCAGGGAUGUAGAG